UUGUCCGGAAUCACUGGGCGUAAAGGGCGCGUAGGCGGUUUGUUAAGUCAGGUGUGAAAGUUUUCAGCUUAACUGGAAAAGUGCACUUGAAACUAACUUACUUGAGUACUGGAGAGGUAAGCGGAAUUCCUAGUGUAGCGGUGAAAUGCGUAGAUAUUAGGAAGAACACCGGUGGCGAAGGCGGCUUACUGGACAGAGACUGACGCUGAGGCGCGAAAGCGUGGGGAGCGAACAGGAUUAGAUACCCUGGUAGUCCACGCCGUAAACGAUGAGUAUUAGGUGUUGCCGAGAGGCAGUGCCGCAGUUAACACAAUAAAUACUCCGCCUGGGGAGUACGGUCGCAAGACUGAAACUCAAAGGAAUUGACGGGACCCCGCACAAGUAGCGGAGCAUGUGGUUUAAUUCGAAGCAACGCGAAGAACCUUACCAGGUCUUGACAUCCUCUGACGAUGCUAGAGAUUGCGUUUUCCUUUCGGGGACAGAGAGACAGGUGGUGCAUGGUUGUCGUCAGCUCGUGUCGUGAGAUGUUGGGUUAAGUCCCGCAACGAGCGCAACCCUCGUGUUUAGUUGCCAGCGGUAAGGCCGGGCACUCUAAACAGACUGCCGUAGAUAAUACGGAGGAAGGUGGGGAUGACGUCAAGUCAUCAUGCCCCUUAUGACCUGGGCUACACACGUGCUACAAUGGGAUGUACAGAGGGUAGCGAAAUAGUGAUAUGGAGCCAAUCUCAAAAAACAUUUCUCAGUUCGGAUUGCAGGCUGCAACUCGCCUGCAUGAAGUCGGAGUUACUAGUAAUCGCAAAUCAGAAUGUUGCGGUGAAUGCGUUCCCGGGGUUUGUACACACCGCCCGU
rnacentral:rRNA from 1 species